AGCCUGCGAGACAGUUGAUGGUGUGUGUAUUUUAGGCGUGACUCCAAAGCCUGACUGACUCAGCGCUGGUACAGUCUGUCUUAUCUAUCUUCCCUGCAUCUGGUCCAUCCUAGCAGAUGCAUGCCUGUGCACCAGCUCUAUGUGCUGACACAGUGCGUCCUCCAGUGCCCUCACUGCCUCCCAUCUCUGCUGACCCAAUGAUAAGCUUGUCGCACGACAAUGGCUCCACUAGAGACAGACGCUGCCAAUCACAAUCAUACCGCAGCGAGACCAACGACCCGUCGCUGGCAGCUUUACACAGGGAUCGGAUGGUGGUUCAGUCGCUGCAGUCUUACAUGCUCAGGAAAUGUUCCAGCUCUCUUGAAAACCCUCGUGCAACGGCCUCUUGGUCAGGGUGGUAAAAUGGUCCUCUUGCAUUUGUCGGAGGAUGUGGUUAAAUCUCAGCCGAGCAACAGUGUAACACUGGUCAUGUUUAAUCAGUAUAAUUAAGCUCCAGUAUGAUUUUAAAAAGGUAAAUGUGCUUUUGUAGAAUAAGCAAAUAAUGCCUUGUCAUGGAUCUUUAUUUCUGUUUAACUUGGUACAUAUUAAAUGGCCAACAAAUGCAUUUUAUAAGGGGAGGGUAGCAUGCGUGAGUACAUCUCACUAUAACAGUCAGUAACAUGAGAUGGGGAACCACACAACCGCUAAAUCAGUAAAAUGGGAGCCCAGAGUCACUGUAAUUUUGGAGAGAGCUGGUUAACCACUCCUCAUAAUGGAUGGUGUUUCUGUUUAGCCUAAGGCGUUGGAGCUGAGGUCAUAUGCAAACAAGGCCUCGGCUUCUACACAGUGCAAAAUGUUCUGCUCCAUGUGCUUGAUCAGUUUUAUGAAAUCAUAGAGACUUGAAAUUUGCAUAAAUAUCUUGCACAAAUUAAAAAAGACCUCAUGACCUAACUGUCUCUGAAAUGAAAGUCUAUGAAGAAAUGUCAUAUUUCAUCCAUAAAAAGACAAAAAUGUUUGCACCACAUGUUUAAUUGACUUUAUGUAACUAAUUAAAAACAUAUUUUUUUAAUAAUCCAAAACUGACCGAAUUCCUUAAGGGUUCCUUGUUUGCCAGGAUAAAAUGCACCAAACUGAGAACAUAUUUUUGAAAAAUAUGUGUAUGGCAAAUUAACUUCCUGGUGAAAAGAUAUCCAAAUUUGCCCACAGGUUCUGUCAUAAACCUGUCAUGUUACCACAAACUCUUUUUUGAUUGGUAAGCUCUACACUAGCAUUA